UACGGAGGGUGCAAGCGUUAUCCGGAUUUACUGGGCGUAAAGGGCGCGUAGGCGGGCAGGUAAGUGAGUUGUGAAAUCUCCAGGCUUAACCUGGAAACAUCAUUGCAGACUGUCUGUCUAGAGUACUUUAGAGAGGAGUGGAAUUCCUCGUGUAGCGGUGAAAUGCGUAGAUAUGUGGAAGAACACCGAUUGCGAAGGCAGCUCCCUGGGCAGGUACUGACGCUGAGGUGCGAAAGCGUGGGGAUCAAACAGG
rnacentral:rRNA from 1 species